GUGCUUGCUUUGGCAGCAUAUAUACUAAAAUUGGAAUGAUACAGAGAAGAUUAGCAUGGCCCUUGUGCAAAGAUGACAUGCAAAUUUGUGAAGCGUUCCAUAUUUUU